AGUGAACGCUGGCGGUAGGCCUAACACAUGCAAGUCGAACGGCAGCACAGUAAGAGCUUGCUCUUACGGGUGGCGAGUGGCGGACGGGUGAGGAAUACAUCGGAAUCUACUUUUUCGUGGGGGAUAACGUAGGGAAACUUACGCUAAUACCGCAUACGACCUACGGGUGAAAGCAGGGGAUCUUCGGACCUUGCGCGAUUGAAUGAGCCGAUGUCGGAUUAGCUAGUUGGCGGGGUAAAGGCCCACCAAGGCGACGAUCCGUAGCUGGUCUGAGAGGAUGAUCAGCCACACUGGAACUGAGACACGGUCCAGACUCCUACGGGAGGCAGCAGUGGGGAAUAUUGGACAAUGGGCGCAAGCCUGAUCCAGCCAUACCGCGUGGGUGAAGAAGGCCUUCGGGUUGUAAAGCCCUUUUGUUGGGAAAGAAAAGCAGCAGGUGAAUACCCCGCUGUUUUGACGGUACCCAAAGAAUAAGCACCGGCUAACUUCGUG
rnacentral:rRNA from 1 species